AGUGAACGCUGGCGGUAGGCCUAACACAUGCAAGUCGAACGGCAGCACAGUAAGAGCUUGCUCUUACGGGUGGCGAGUGGCGGACGGGUGAGGAAUACAUCGGAAUCUACUUUUUCGUGGGGGAUAACGUAGGGAAACUUACGCUAAUACCGCAUACGACCUACGGGUGAAAGCAGUGGAUCUUCGGACCUUGCGCGAUUGAAUGAGCCGAUGUCGGAUUAGCUAGUUGGCGGGGUAAAGGCCCACCAAGGCGACGAUCCGUAGCUGGUCUGAGAGGAUGAUAAGCGACACUGGAACUGGGACACGGUCCAGAGUCCUGAGAGAGGCAGCAGUGGGGAAUAUUGGACAAUAGGCGCAAGCCUGAUCCAGCCAUACCGCGUGGGAGAAGAAGGCCUUCGGGUUGUAAAGCCCUUUUGUUGGGAAAGAAAAGCAGCAGGUUAAUACCCAGCUGUUCUGACGGUACCCAAAGAAUAAGCACCGGCUAACUUCGUG
rnacentral:rRNA from 1 species